rnacentral:rRNA from 1 species
GAUGAACGCUGGCGGCGUGCCUAAUACAUGCAAGUCGAGCGAACAGACGAGGAGCUUGCUCCUCUGACGUUAGCGGCGGACGGGUGAGUAACACGUGGAUAACCUACCUAUAAGACUGGGAUAACUUCGGGAAACCGGAGCUAAUACCGUAUAACAUGUUGAACCGCAUGGUUCAACAGUGAAAGACGGUCUUGCUGUCACUUAUAGAUGGAUCCGCGCCGCAUUAGCUAGUUGGUAAGGUAACGGCUUACCAAGGCAACGAUGCGUAGCCGACCUGAGAGGGUGAUCGGCCACACUGGAACUGAGACACGGUCCAGACUCCUACGGGAGGCAGCAGUAGGGAAUCUUCCGCAAAGGGCGAAAGCCUGACGGAGCAACGCCGCGUGAGUGAAGAAGGUCUUCGGAUCGUAAAACUCUGUUAUUAGGGAAGAACAAAUGUGUAAGUAACUAUGCACGUCUUGACGGUACCUAAUCAGAAAGCCACGGCUAACUACGUG